GCCUGGGUGGCUCAGUGUUUGAGCGCCUGCCUUUGGCCCAGGGCGUGAUCUUGGGUCCUGGGAUCGAGUCCCACAUCAGGCU
rfam:Canis lupus familiaris chromosome 4, whole genome shotgun sequence.